rnacentral:tRNA from 1 species
GCCGAAGUGGCGGAAUGGUAGACGCGCUGGAUUCAAAAUCCUGUGUCUUCACGGGCGUGUGGGUUCGAGUCCCACCUUCGGCACCA